UACGUAGGGUGCAAGCGUUGUCCGGAAUUAUUGGGCGUAAAGAGCUCGUAGGCGGUUUGUUGCGUCGGCUGUGAAAUCCCGAGGCUCAACCUCGGGUCUGCAGUCGAUACGAGCAAACUAGAGUGUUGCAGGGGAGACUGGAAUUCCUGGUGUAGCGGUGAAAUGCGCAGAUAUCAGGAGGAACACCCGGUGGCGAAGGCGGGUCUCUGGGCAACAACUGACGCUGGAGGAGCGAAAGCCGUGGGGAGCGAACAGG
rnacentral:rRNA from 1 species